rnacentral:rRNA from 1 species
UACGUAGGGAGCAAGCGUUACCCGGAUUUAUUGGGUGUAAAGGGUGCGUAGACGGAGAAGCAAGUUAGUUGUGAAAUCCCUCGGCUUAACUGAGGAACUGCAACUAAAACUACUUCCCUUGAGUACUGGAGAGGAAAGUGGAAUUCCUAGUGUAGCGGUGAAAUGCGUAGAUAUUAGGAGGAACACCAGUGGCGAAGGCGACUUUCUGGACAGUAACUGACGUCGAGGCACGAAAGUGUGGGGAGCAAACAGG